GACAAACUGAUCUAUUACAAAGUAGGUCAGAACAGCUGCUAUUCUGGGGCUGUACAGACACGAGGGGGCAUGAGGGAGCCUGCCAGGUGCUGAAAACAUUUAAUAUCUUGAAUGUCCCAGAGUUAUCACACAGGUUUCACACACCUCAAGUCUCUCCUCUGCUUAGUGAGGCAAGCAGUUUCUAGAACCCUCUGCUUGGUCACUUUCCUUUUGGAAACUGCUUAAAGAUGAGGAGAAGGACUUUUGAAAUAGAGAAAUGUUUCUAUGCCGAGAUGCUCAUUCCUGGGUCCCCCGCCGGUGACAAAGAGGGACAAAGAGAUUUCUCAAGGAUAAUUACAACAGUGUAGGAAACAAAGGAUAUAAAAGAAGAAUGUUAAAUUGUUUUGGACAAAGAGCUCGCUGCUUACAAAAAGUCCAUAUAACCUCAUUCCUCUGAACACAAUAUUAUACAUCAUACUAAACAUGAAUAGCUUAUAGGAAAUUAGUAUUAAAUAGAAGAAACAAAAAAACAUAUAUAUAUAUAUAUAUAAAUAACAUAAAAUAGAGUUUGACUCUAAUGUGAUGCUUAACAAAGCAAACUAUGAUGCAAUAUGUAUCAACUUCAUUAAUUGGACAAGUCCCCUGAAGCACAAAUCAAGUAUGUGCUAAACUCUCAACCACCAACUCCAGCUAGAUUCUUUUUGUUCAUGGGUUCUGUCCAAUUCCAUUCCAGAGAGCAUCAGCUUUUUACAUCUUCUUGACUCUAUGGCUGUAGAGAAAAAAAAAAAAAAAGGAAAAAAUAAGCAAAAACAGGGCAACCAGCUGGGAGGAAUGGCUUUUGUGCCUGAAGGUUGCCCCUCACCCCCUAAUCUCAUCUCAGGAUGCCAGCAGCUCAGAGUCCAGAGGAGAUAAUCGAGGUUCAGAGAGGAAGGGCCUUGCCCAAUGUAACUCAGCUAGCUGAUGACAGAAACAGGACCAGACACUUAUAUCUUUAAGUUCAGUGCCUGCUGCACCUUUGUGUUAGGUGACUUCUGUUCAUAUUGAUAAAAUGUUAUUCUCUAUUA